CGCGGAACUAAUGGAGUAAUUGGUCUAACGAGACUAGCCCGCGCUGAUUGGCUGUCUGGCUGCUCCGCCCACUUAGCUACAGAGAAUUUAGUGCUGAGUUUACUGGACGGCAUCCGCAUCCGCCAUAUUAUUCUACUGUAUAACUUCACCGUUUAAGAUGUUUGUGUAUGGUAUGCAUAAUAUAGACUGUUUACAAUUAUUUGCUUUGUGUUUUUUAUUCAACUUCAGUAUUGGUUUCUUUGGACAUUUUGGAAGAUCAUUUUACUAUUCAGUACAGAAGGACCGCACUCGUUCCACCAGUUUCCUUCCAACAAACUCAUCCGACAUCAAUGGUUGGAAGGAAUCGGAAGGCCUGAUUUCCAUCCAUCCAGCCGCAAUGUAGUUUGUUCGGACCAUUUCGCCAGCAGCUGCUUCAGUGACCAGAAAAAAAGGAAGAGAUCCACGGAAGAUUAGGACACUAAAGGACGGCAGCGUACCCAGCGUACCAAAAGCCUUGGAUAAGCGAGCAACUGCAGGAUCCACCAACGUUUCUCCAGAGAAAAAACGGUUAUGCGCGUUUGGAGAAAGCGAUGCUUUGAAUACCAGCGUUAGAAGAGCAUAAUGUCAUUGCGCAGCUGCGGGAAAGAAUUGAUGAAUUGGAAGGUGCGCUGGCCGUAUCGGACAUCCGCAUCCAGGAACUAGAAUCCGACAUACAAGAACGCGACGAGCGCAUAAGCGAACUGGAACACCUAUUGUUCAUGGAAGAUAAAGAGCCUUUGAUCAAUGUCGACGACAAGAUAUCUGACGUAAAAAGCGAAACUUUUCGAAGGAUGACAGGGGUAAUGAACGUUGAAGUUCUGAAUGAAAUAGCGGAGAUUUUUUCACCGGCGAUUUUAGCCGCCUGGCAAAAGAGGAACGAGGGAGGCAUUCCAAGACCUGGCAGGCGAAAGCAGUGUG